ACUAGUGUACUGCAGCUGGGCAGGCACACUCCUCGCAGACCCGGCGCUCUCCAAGGAGAAAAGAAAGUUAGUGGGCUUGGGGUACGUUUCCCUUCUUUUCCUAGAAGAGGGUGGCAGGGGGGCUGGCUCAGAAAGAAACCAUCACUGACCAACACUUGGGGUACUCUGUCAAAAUGCUGCUCCUUCCAUACUGAGUCUCUUUGCUCCUCCUCUUUCCCCCAGUCAACCUGGGGUUAAGUGGGAAGGGGAGUAAGGCAACUCCAGGGGAUGCCUUCCAAACUCCGGGAGAGGGAAAGCACAGGAAUUGGGAGAAGACGUGAAGGCAGAGCUUGAACUCCUAUGUACCCGGUGACACAAGACUGCUCUGAGGGUGGCGCCCGCUGCUUCUCCCGGGCGCCCCGCCAGCCGCUCUCCCUGGCAGUGGCGCCCUUUCCUCGCCCUCUGCCCGCCCAAGAGCUGCUGGCCCAGAGCAGCCGCAUUCCCGACCCUCCAAGGCGAAGAUCC
rnacentral:lncRNA from 1 species